GGCACUAUUUUUGGCCAUCUUUCAUUGGAGAACGAGAAUGAAAAGCGAUAGCGAGAGAAAUCAGACUACCGCCUUUUCUCAUAAACGGUGUGGCACAGAUUGAUCUGUUGGCGCAUAGCUAUACACUAUAGACUUCCAUUCCUAUUUCUCAAUCUACUAAAAGAUAUUAUAAGUAAUAUAAGUAAUUAUAUGUAAAGAUUUACUUUUUACUUGUCUGUUAUUGCUGGUGCUGCCGAUAGUUCGAUGUUGCGGCCGGCAGUGUGAGGAAAAAUUUUGGUAUUCGCUGUGAUAUAAUUGUAUAUGAAAAUUAACGAGCUGCAAUUAUUUAAGACUCUUCACUUUUGUCCAGAGCGACGAAAUAUUCUGCAAAAUUUUUACUUAUUAGCUAUGCCAGCGGCACAGUGUGACCCAUCAACAUUCAGUAAUAUGUUUCAGUGAACGGCUACACUGUUCGAUGCGAACAAGUCGAAAGGUCUUUCGCCGGACGAAUUAGCGAGAUUAGCGAGAGAACACAGCGAUGCGGCCACCAGCGAGUCUUGCCCAGCGACAGUCUUUGUCACAUCCAAAAUGGCCUUAUACCCUGGAGUGCGUUUAAGCCCAUGGCAUUUCUACACUCAGUGCAACGAGAUCAUUUGAACGCAAAACAAUACUCUUUUGUGGAUUGAUCAACAAAGUCAAUACAGUUUCAGGAAAAGUUAUCGCUGAGCCGCUGAGGGUGCGUAAAUGUCAGAUAAGACGCACACAAGCACAGGCAGAGAAAUGAGAAACGACGCACGGAUACCCUAUAACAGUGCCAUUGAGGUUGCACCUGGCUCGGAAUACGCAUAACCAUGACCCAGGUUAUCCGAAAAUGACCCCCCAUUGGGGGCGGAGCACAUUGUGGUCACAAGCUGUGGCACCAACUGUAACUCCCCUUCGUGUGGUGCCACACACAUUGUGUUGUUG